rnacentral:rRNA from 1 species
GUCGAGCGAACGGACGAGAAGCUUGCUUCUCUGAUGUUAGCGGCGGACGGGUGAGUAACACGUGGAUAACCUACCUAUAAGACUGGGAUAACUUCGGGAAACCGGAGCUAAUACCGGAUAAUAUUUUGAACCGCAUGGUUCACAAGUGAAAGACGGUCUUGCUGUCCUUAUAGAUGAUCCGCGCUGCAUUAGCUGUUGGCAAGUAACGGCUUACCAAGGCAACGAUGCAUAGCCGACCUGAGAGGGUGAUCGGCCACACUGGAACUGAGACACGGUCCAGACUCCUACGGGAGGCAGCAGUAGGGAAUCUUCCGCAAUGGGCGAAAGCCUGACGGAGCAACGCCGCGUGAGUGAUGAAGGUCUUCGGAUCGUAAAACUCUGUUAUUAGGGAAGAACAUAUGUGUAAGUAACUGUGCACAUCUUGACGGUACCUAAUCAGAAAGCCACGGCUAACUACGUGCCAGCAGCCGCGGUAAUACGUAGGUGGCAAGCGUUAUCCGGAAUUAUUGGGCGUAAAGCGCGCGUAGGCGGUUUUUUAAGUCUGAUGUGAAAGCCCACGGCUCAACCGUGGAGGGUCAUUGGAAACUGGAAAACUUGGGUGCAGAAGAGGAAAGUGGAAUUCCAUGUGUAGCGGUGAAAUGCGCAGAGAUAUGGAGGAACACCAGUGGCGAAGGCGACUUUCUGGUCUGUAACUGACGCUGAUGU